rnacentral:tRNA from 1 species
GGUAAGAUGGCUGAGAGUCAAGCGGCGGAUUGUAGCUCCGUGUAUAGAGGCUAAAUUCCUCUUCUUAUCA